rnacentral:rRNA from 1 species
AGAGUUUGAUUCUGGCUCAGGACGAACGCUGGCGGCGCGCCUAACACAUGCAAGUCGAACGAGAGAGAGGAAGCUUGCUUCCUCAAUCGAGUGGCGAACGGGUGAGUAACGCGUGAGGAACCUGCCUCAAAGAGGGGGACAACAGUUGGAAACGACUGCUAAUACCGCAUAAGCCCACGGGUCGGCAUCGACCAGAGGGAAAAGGAGCAAUCCGCUUUGAGAUGGCCUCGCGUCCGAUUAGCUAGUUGGUGAGGUAACGGCCCACCAAGGCAACGAUCGGUAGCCGGACUGAGAGGUUGAACGGCCACAUUGGGACUGAGACACGGCCAAGACUCCUACGGGAGGCAGCAGUGGGGAAUAUUGCACAAUGGGGGAAACCCUGAUGCAGCGACGCCGCGUGGAGGAAGAAGGUCUUCGGAUUGUAAACUCCUGUUGUUGAGGAAGAUAAUGACGGUACUCAACAAGGAAGUGACGGCUAACUACGUGCCAGCAGCCGCGGUAAAACGUAGGUCACAAGCGUUGUCCGGAAUUACUGGGUGUAAAGGGAGCGCAGGCGGGAAGACAAGUUGGAAGUGAAAUCUAUGGGCUCAACCCAUAAACUGCUUUCAAAACUGUUUUUCUUGAGUAGUGCAGAGGUAGGCGGAAUUCCCGGUGUAGCGGUGGAAUGCGUAGAUAUCGGGAGGAACGCCAGUGGCGAAGGCGGCCUACUGGGCACCAACUGACGCUGAGGCUCGAAAGUGUGGGUAGCAAACAGGAUUAGAUACCCUGGUAGUCCACACCGUAAACGAUGAAAGUAGGUGUUGGAGGAUUGACCCCUCCAGUGCCGCAGUAAACACAAUAAGUAAUCCACCGGGGGAGUACGACCGCAGGGUUGAAAUUCAAAGGAAUAGACGGGGGCCCGCCCAAGCAGUGGAGUAUGUGGUUUAAUUGGACGCAACGCGAAGAACCUUACCAAGUCUUGACAUCCCUUGACGAACAUAGAAAUAUGUUUUUUCUUCGGAGCAAGGAGACAGGUGGGGCAUGGUUGUCGUCAGCUCGUGUCGUGAGAUGUUGGGUUAAGUCCCGCAACGAGCGCAACCCUUACUGUCAGUUAUUACGCAAGAGGACUCUGGCAGGACUGCCGUUGACAAAACGGAGGAAGGUGGGGAGGACGUCAGAUCAUCAUGCCCUCUAUGACUUGGGCUACACACGUACUACAAUGGCGUUAAACAAAGAGAAGCAAGACCGCGAGGUGGAGCAAAACUCAGAAACAACGUCCCAGUUCGGACUGCAGGCUGCAACUCGCCUGCACGAAGUCGGAAUUGCUAGUAAUCGUGGAUCAGCAUGCCACGG